rnacentral:rRNA from 1 species
UACGGAAGGCAGCAGUGGGGAAUAUUGCACAAUGGGCGAAAGCCUGAUGCAGCUAUGCCGCGUGUAUGAAGAAGGCCUUAGGGUUGUAAAGUACUUUCAUCGGGGAGGAAAAAACAAAACUAAUAAUUUUAUUUCUUGACGUUACCCGAAAAAGAAGCACCGGCUAACUCCGUGCCAGCAGCCGCGGUAAUACGGAGGGUGCUAGCGUUAAUCAGAAUUACUGGGCGUAAAGAGCACGUAGGUGGUUUUUUUAAGUCAGAUGUGAAAUCCCUGGGCUUUAACCUAGGAACUGCAUUUUGAAACUGAAAUACUAGAGUAUCGUAGAGGGAGGUAGAAUUCUAGGUGUAGCGGUGAAAUGCGUAGAUAUCUGGAGGAAUACCUGUGGCGAAAGCGGCCUCCUAAACGAAUACUGACACUGAGGUGCGAAAGCGUGGGGAGCAAACAGGGAUUAGAUA